UACGUAGGGUGCGAGCGUUGAUCGGAAUUACUGGGCGUAAAGCGUGCGCGGGCGGUUUUGUAGGCCAGAUGUGAAAGCCCCGGGCUUAACCUGGGAAUGGCAUUUGGGACUGCAAGGCUUGAGUGCGGCAGAGGAGACUGGAAUUCCUGGUGUAGCAGUGAAAUGCGUAGAUAUCAGGAGGAAUACCGAUGGCGAAGGCAGGUCUCUGGGCUGACACUGACGCUCAUGCACGAAAGCGUGGGGAGCAAACAGG
rnacentral:rRNA from 1 species